rnacentral:rRNA from 1 species
ACGGGAGGCAGCAGUGGGGAAUAUUGCACAAUGGGCGCAAGCCUGAUGCAGCGAUGCCGCGUGAGGGAAGAAGGUUUUCGGAUUGUAAACCCCUGUCAUAAGGGACGAAAAAAGACGGUACCUCAGAAGGAAGCUCCGGCUAACUACGUGCCAGCAGCCGCGGUAAUACGUAGGGAGCAAGCGUUAUCCGGAAUUACUGGGUGUAAAGGGAGUGUAGGCGGGACUGUAAGUCAGAUGUGAAAUAUACCGGCCCAACUGGUAGACUGCAUUUGAAACUGCGGUUCUUAAGUGAAGUAGAGGUAAGCGGAAUUCCUAGUGUAGCGGUGAAAUGCGUAGAUAUUAGGAGGAACAUCAGUGGCGAAGGCGGCUUACUGGGCUUUAACUGACGCUGAGGCUCGAAAGCGUGGGGAGCAAACAGGAUUAGAUACCCUGGUA